CAAGUCGAACGAUGAAGUUCCUUUGGGGAUGGAUUAGUGGCGAACGGGUGAGGAACACGUGAAGAAUCUGCCUCACUUUGGGAUAACUCCGGGAAACCGGGCUAAUACCCGAAUAUUGAAACAUAAGCGGCAUCGCUGAGUUUGAAAGAUUCGGUGGAGGAUGACUUCGCGGCCUAUCAGCUUGUUGGUGAGGUAAUGGCUCACCAAGGCAACGACGGGUAGCCGGCCUGAGAGGGCGACCGGCCACACUGGGACUGAGACACGGCCCAGACUCC
rnacentral:rRNA from 1 species